rnacentral:ncRNA from 1 species
AAAAACACGUAGAAAAAGAAAGUAAAAUUCUGUGGAAUUUCUAAAAGAGAGCCUUGGUAGCUGAAAAGAGGCGGAAGAAAACGAAUUUGAAAAUGGCUUUUGAGUGGGCAUUUCGAGAGAUUAUUUUAGAGGUGCACGGUUAUUCCCGUUAGCAAGAAUCCUAAUAUCAAGCAGUGGCGGCGUAUUAGAGUAGAGGCAAAAAUCCUAUAAUUUUUGUGAAUUAAGGUGGUACCAUGUAUGUUUAUUACAUCCUUAGA